GCCCAGUGAAACAUCUUAAACGGCCGCGGUAUUCUAACCGUGCAAAGGUAGCGUAAUCACUUGUCUUCUAAAUAAAGACCAGUAUGAACGGCUAAAUGAGGACAAACCUGUCUCUUAUAACCAAUCAGUGAAACUGAUCUCCCAAUACAAAAGUUGGGAUAUACACAUAAGACGAGAAGACCCCGUGGAGCUUAAAACAAACUACUAAUCUAAACGACCCUAGUAUGCUGUUUUGAGUUGGGGCGACUUCGGAAUAAAGCAAAACUUCCGAGCACAGAACCACCACUUCUAACCAAGGCCAACAAGCCUAAGUUUAACCUGACCCGGCCUCAUGCCGAUCAACGAACCAAGUUACCCCGGGGAUAACAGCGCUAUCUUCUUCAAGAGUCCCUAUCAACAAGAAGGUUUACGACCUCGAUGUUGGAUCAGGACACCCUAAUGGUGCAGCCGCUAUUAAUGGUUCGUUUGUUCAACGAUUAACAGUCCU
rnacentral:rRNA from 1 species